GACGAACGCUGGCGGCGUGCCUAAUACAUGCAAGUAGAACGCUGAAGGAGGAGCUUGCUUCUCUGGAUGAGUUGCGAACGGGUGAGUAACGCGUAGGUAACCUGCCUGGUAGCGGGGGAUAACUAUUGGAAACGAUAGCUAAUACCGCAUAAUAGUAGAUGUCGCAUGACAUUUGCUUAAAAGGUGCAAUUGCCUCCCUACCAGAUGGACCUGCGUUGUAUUAGCUAGUUGGUGAGGUAACGGCUCACCAAGGCAACGAUACAUAGCCGACCUGAGAGGGUGAUCGGCCACACUGGGACUGAGACACGGCCCAGACUCCUACGGGAGGAAGCAGUAGGGAAUCUUCGGCAAUGGACGGAAGUCUGACCGAGCAACGCCGCGUGAGUGAAGAAGGGUUUCGGAUCGUAAAGCUCUGUUGUAAGAGAAGAACGAGUGUGAGAGUGGAAAGUUCACACUGUGACGGUAUCUUACCAGAAAGAGACGGCUAACUACGUG
rnacentral:rRNA from 1 species